UACAGAGGGUGCGAACGUUGCUCGGAAUUACUGGGCGUAAAGCGCGUGUAGGCGGGUCGGCAAGUCAGGCGUGAAAUCCCCAGGCUCAACCUGGGAACUGCGCUUGAAACUAGCGGGCUUGAGUGUGGCAGAGGGGGGUGGAAUUCCACGUGUAGCAGUGAAAUGCGUAGAGAUGUGGAGGAACACCGAUGGCGAAGGCAGCCCCCUGGGUCAACACUGACGCUCAUGCACGAAAGCGUGGGGAGCAAACAGG
rnacentral:rRNA from 1 species